AACGAACGCUGGCGGCAUGCCUAACACAUGCAAGUCGAACGAGACCUUCGGGUCUAGUGGCGCACGGGUGCGUAACGCGUGGGAACCUGCCCUUAGGUUCGGAAUAACUCCCCGAAAGGGGUGCUAAUACCGGGUAAUUUCUGCGGACCAAAGAUUUAUCGCCUUUGGAUGGGCCCGCGUUGGAUUAGCUAGUUGGUAUGGUAAAAGCCUACCAAGGCGACGAUCCAUAGCUGGUCUGAGAGGCUGAUCAGCCACACUGGGACUGAGACACGGCCCAGACUCCUACGGGAGGCAGCAGUGGGGAAUACUGGAAAAUGGGCGAAAGCCUGAUCCAGCAAUGCCGAGUGAGUGAUGAAGGCCUUAGGGUUGUAAAGCUCUUUUACCCGGGAUGAUAAUGACAGUACCGGGAGAAUAAGCUCCGGCUAACUACGUG
rnacentral:rRNA from 1 species